rnacentral:rRNA from 1 species
CAGCCGCCGCGGGAAUACGAAGGGGGCUAGCGUUGUUCGGAUUUACUGGGCGUAAAGCGCACGUAGGCGGAUCGAUCAGUCAGGGGUGAAAUCCCAGAGCUCAACUCUGGAACUGCCUUUGAUACUGUCGAUCUGGAGUAUGGAAGAGGUGAGUGGAAUUCCGAGUGUAGAGGUGAAAUUCGUAGAUAUUCGGAGGAACACCAGUGGCGAAGGCGGCUCACUGGUCCAUUACUGACGCUGAGGUGCGAAAGCGUGGGGAGCAAACAGGAUUAGAUACCCAGUAGUCCCUGUCUCUUAUACC